rnacentral:rRNA from 2 species
AUACCGGCAGCUCGAGUGAUGUCCAAUAUUAUUGGGCCUAAAGCGUCCGUAGCUGGCCAGCCAAGUUCGUCGGGAAAUCCACCUGCCCAACAGGUGGGCGUCCGGCGAAAACUGUCUGGCUUGGAACCGGAAGGCUCAGAGGGUACGUCCGGGGUAGGAGUGAAAUCCCGUAAUCCCGGACGGACCACCGAUGGCGAAAGCACUCUGAGAAGACGGAUUCGACAGUGAGGGACGAAAGCUAGGGUCUCGAACCGGAUUAGAUACCCGGGUAGUCCUAGCUGUAAACGAUGCUCGUUAGGUGUGGCACCCACUACGAGUGGGUGCUGUGCCGUAGGGAAGCCGCUAAACGAGCCGCCUGGGAAGUACGUCCGCAAGGAUGAA